CCUGAUUUUUAUAGGAGGUCUAGCCUGCCCAGUGACAAAGUUAAACGGCCGCGGUACCCUAACCGUGCAAAGGUAGCGCAAUCACUUGUUCUUUAAAUGAGGACUAGUAUGAACGGCAUCACGAGGGUUAUGCUGUCUCCCUACUUUAUUCAGUGAAACUGAUCUCCCCGUGAAGAAGCGGGGAUAAAAAUAUAAGACGAGAAGACCCCAUGGAGCUUUAAACUCAGUAUCAACUGCUAUAUUUAAAACCUAAUACACAAGCAAUCUCUGACUACUAGUUUUCGGUUGGGGUGACCACGGAGUAAAACCUAACCUCCACGAUGAAAGGAAGUAACAACCUAAAUUAAGAGCUACAACUCUAAAUAUCAAUAAAUUGACUGAUUGAUCCAAUUAAUU
rnacentral:rRNA from 1 species